CGGGGCCAGGCGAGUGCGCAACCGCGGGCUCCUGCUCGCCCCGCCCUUUCACCCUCCGGCCAGCUCAACAGUGCAGCUGCGCCUCAGUGCGCUUGCGUGAGGCAGAAACUGGCGCGUUGCCCUGUGACGGACGGCUGCAGCUCAGUGCGCCUACGCGGCGGAGGCCCUGGCGGGGUGGAGGGUUCCAGCCUGACCCUAAGGAACCCUGGGGCCCCAGACGCUGGCAAAGCUUCUUUGUUUUGGGGUGCGGGGAUCACAGGUGUGUGCCACCGCACCACGUCCAAAGCUCCUUAAAAGAGGGCUCGCAGGUGGUGGCUGAAGACAUCAAGAUGACGGGUUUACGGGGAUAUUCAACUACACCCAGCAGUCUCCGGUGUUCCCCUGCAAGGGCGGCAAACCUAACACACAGCUGGCUGUUUGUUACCAUUGAAAGCUCUGAAAGAUUGCUGUUGCUGCAACCCACCAAGACUUCCCCCAGUGAAAGCCAUCAUGUGGUGGAGACAACUGCCCCUUCCCCAGGUCUGACUAGAACUGCGAUCCUGGUAACCAGGCCCCAGCCCUCCCAGCAGAGCUUCCAGUUCAUGGAUCUGUAGCUAGCAGACCAGUCUGAUCCUCCCCUCACUUCCUCAUUUUGAAAUCUCUUCCCUAUUUUCUCUGACCUUCCUUGUUGACAAUCUGGCUCAGUCCUUGUCAGAGCUGGGUCCCUUUUGCUUUUAGUCCCUUACUGUUUUACUUCCCAUUUAAAGCUUUGCCUGUAAAAUUCAUGCCAAUUGCCUGUUUUAUUUUCCAUUAUCAUAGAUGCAGCGUGCUAGUUGAUGAUAGGACAUUUUUGAGGAUGUAUUUCUUUCUUUUUUUUUUUUUUUGGUACUGGGGAUCGAACUCAGGACUUGUGCUUGCGAGUCAAACAUGGUGCCACUGAGCUAAAUCCCGGGCCCAUAUUUAUGUACAUUGAGAACAUUAAAGACAAAUUCAAAAUUAUCUUAAAUUUAUAUUACUGAGGGGCCAGGGGCCUGGGAUUUAGCUCAGUACUUCUGCCACCUGCCUCACAAGUGCAAGGACCCGAGUUCAAUCCCCCUACCAAAAAAAAAAUCUAUAUUACUGAAAGCAUCGCUUAAAUUCUGUGAGAACCUUGAUCCUUAGUGUCAGGUCUGACUUAAGUGAGUCCUUCACAAAUGAACAGGACAAGCAAACAGGAUGCUUCUAGCAAACAACAGCCUCUUCUCAGUAAAUAGGACAAAUAGACUCAAAAGGAAGUAUAAACUACCCUAGUGCCGGGAAGUCUAGUAAUUUGUACACACUUGAGCAGACCAUCCUGGUGUGGGACUGCAUAACUUUGUAAUCUUAAAUUCCUAGUCUCAACUGUGAUUAAUGUAAAUUAACAGGUGAACAUUUAGUAGUUUUGGGUGAAUAGAUAAAAUUGUCUCACUGUCUGCCCGGAAGGAAUGUUUUGAAAACCUUGGGACAUUCUGUAAGCAUCUGUUAUAGACCCCCACCCUGCCUAUCCCCUUGUAAAAACAGCCUAAACCCCUGAGCUGUUGCCUCUCUGAGCUACUUGGCUCCAGGAGUGCUAUCUGGCCAGACUAAUAAAGGUCUGUUUUCCAACAUGUUGGGUAUGUUCCUUCAUGGGUGAUUCUUGCUGCUCCUCAAGCUCCUGGAGCAAUCGCUAGGCUAUAGGCCCAGUAUCUUGGAGGCCCUUUCAGUUGGUCAAGCUCCUUGGAGUGGUAGUAAGGCCCUAGGUCUUUCACUGGGUCAUCCAAGUCAUAAAUAUUUCACCCAGAUUCCCGAGCUCUUCAAUACCUAUAUAAGCUCAGUUCCUCUUUCAUUUAGCUGCUCUGUCUCUCAGUGUCAGCCCAUCCUCUCAUGGAUGGAGUCUCUCCCAGCCAGCUGCCCCCCACCCCCUCUCUCUUUAUCUCCCAGUGUCAGCCAUCCACACACAGAUGUGAUAAACUCGGCUUUUCCCAGCUAGCUGCUAGAAUCUCCAGAUUUUUAGUCCCUGGUCACUGGAAUAAACUUUCCUUUCAAAAGCCUAUUUUCGACAAGUGGAUUAUUUAUAACAUAGCAACGGCAGAAUGGGGAUUUGGGAAUUGUUGCUGGAAGACAGAGAAUCGUCUGUGCUUACCUGGAUCUGUUACCCGCUCCUAAUCUUGUUCUGUCUGUUUGACCCAGCUAAAUUUCCACCCUGCCCUGAUCUUGUUCAUCUUUGAGUACAAGAUGUCUGGAGGCCACAGGUCCAUCUUCGGGGAUCAGCAGGAACUUCUGGGAUCUAAAAUUGCCGUAAGUGACCCUAGACAACCUCUAAUUUGUUAUACUCUCAUCUGCGUGCUAAAGACACUCCAGUGCUGUGGCAGGUGACCGUUCCCAUGACCAUAAUGGGAAAGAUUCAUAAAAGGAAUGAACAGAAGUGGCGCCUGAAUCCCCAGGAAGACCUCUGCCCCUCCCGGGAAACACAGAUGUUCCUCCCUCCUUACCCUACCCGUCUCCUCUCAGCUCUUUUACCCUGUAUCUAUAACCUCCCAAACCCCAAGGGUAGAAAAGCUGGUUUGUAAGUUUAUCUCCUACCUCUAUUCUUGGC
rnacentral:lncRNA from 1 species